ensembl:lncRNA
CUGAAAUCUGUUCCCAAAGAAUGUGGGUUGUUUUACAAAGUGGCCUAUGUGGAUUUUGUCUGUAGAGAAGAUGGAGUUGGUGGAAUAUAACUUCUCAGGAAAUCUUGAUGGUAUUCGCACAAGAGUGUGAGCGACUGUACCUGUAUCUCUGUAGGCUCUCAUUUUGGCUAAAGGAAAAAGCAACGUUGAGAAACAGAAGAGUGACAAAUCUCCUCCCUCCCUCAAAUUCCGUCACCCCUUGGAUUACGCACAGUUGUGCUUUUCACACCUCUCAGAGUCACCUGCACAGCUUGUUUCAUAAAGCACACGCCGUUUGAUUAAAUGCCAUCGCUGGGAAGGGAGAGCAUAUUUGUUCAGCUGAUCUGGAUGAGCCAAACUAAAUCUCUAAUAGUCUGCAGUAACGAGGUCUUCCUCAGUUCCUCAUAGAGGGAACAGAACCGGCUCCAGAGAGUGAUUCAUCACAGCCCCAGACAGAUGUCAAAAACAAGCAUAAAUGAUGGCACACACAUGUUGGAAUUGGGGCACGUGAAUUUGUCCACGCUCCACAAGCGAUGCUGAAAUAAGCCAGUUGACAUCUGUAAAAGAUUGAGUUUAAAUCGAUUCACUUCUAUCACAAUGCUUUUCUCUUUUUUAAAUGUAGACGAGCAUUUGUGUGCCUAACUGUCCCUGAACUCAAAUGGCCAGAGGGAUUGUGUUCAAAUUAUCCAUUAAAAACAAUCUCCUUGCAGAGACCAAGCAUGAAAAAUUCAGUCCAAAAGAUGAAAGGUUCGGAAAAUGUUAGGAGUUCAUGGCAAGAGAGGAUUUAUAAGGGUUUGCAGCCUACACUAUAGUUGCCAUAAGCAAUAUAUACCCUAGCACAUAUAGGGCCAAAGCUUCUACCGACUUUAAAGGAAAAUGGAUUAAAGCUUUGAGCGGAAAGCCUCGUGACUAAUCAUCCAUGUGAGUAACCCACACCAUCACAGGAUCCUUCAAGUUGCUGUGUGCGUUCAGAAGGAGCUGCUGCUGGAAACUCUUUGGAUUAAUUCCUCAGCUCAGGUGGCAGAAAUGGGAAGUUUGAAUGCGAAAGGCCUGAUAUCCAAUCCCUACUGGAAAUCCAGGUGGAGCAGAGGUGCCCAUCUCUGACUGUGGGAUGGGAAGCGUUAUGGAAGAUGCUGACUGUGAUUUUAAGCUGUAUCCAUAUUGUAUUCCUUCUGGACAGCAUGCACAGGGACAGAGACCUGCUUUCAGAAAGCCCUCCCACCACAAAAGAAAAAGAGGUUAUAACAAUUAAUAAAUGUUAUUUAUAAAGCACUUCCCACUCCAAGAGCCUUUUGGGAGCAGCAUGAACCAUUAAAAUGAAAUCCAAUUAUAAAACCCAAUCACAAUUAAAU